rnacentral:lncRNA from 11 species
CUGUUUACUUACAGAAUGAAGGUUGAAAGGAGACAUGAGGGCCAUGUAUAAAUACCGUCCGCUGCUCUCCCUCCUGAGAAGUCCUUUAAAGCAAUAGUACAGCCAUUUUUCUCUCAGAGGGAACUCUCUCUCUUCUGAGGGGGAAAGGGGGCGAGGUUGCCCACCACAAGCCCCGCCCACCAUGGCAACAUUUUGAGACAGUCGGAUUAGGCUCCCCGGGCAGCUGCAAAGUCCUCUGGCCUUUUCUGCCAAAGAGUGCUGUUGCCUCACCAAAUUACAAAUCCCAUGUAGAAGAGAGGUGCAGUGGUACUAUGCGAGGACUAAGGGAAACAGUUCCUAGGUGAGCAAAGUGUAAUAGAAUGAAGUGAAGUUUGUUGUGAUUUAUUAUUACUUUACUAGGAGCU